GACGAACGCUGGCGGCGUGCCUAAUACAUGCAAGUCGAACGCAGUGGGGACGGGUGAGUAACCCGUGGGUAACCUCCCAUCAGAGGGGAUAACACUUGGAAACAGGUACUCAACCGAUACUGGUGGAUGAACCCGCGUUGUAUUAGCUAGUUGGUGAGGUAACGGCUCACCAAGGCCAGGAUGCAUAGCAGACCUGAUAGGGUGGUCAGCCACACUGGGACGGAGACACGGCCCAGACUCCUACGUGAGGCAGCAGUAGGGAAUCGUAGGCAAUGGACGAAAGUCUGACCGAGCAACGCCGCGUAAGGGAAGAAGGUUUUGGGAUAGUAAAACUCUGUUGUUAGAGAAGCGGUAUCUAACCAGAAAGCAACGGCUAACUACGUGCCAGCAGCCGCGGUAAUAC
rnacentral:rRNA from 1 species